rnacentral:rRNA from 1 species
AGAGUUUGAUCCUGGCUCAGAACGAACGCUGGCGGCGUGGAUAAGACAUGCAAGUCGGACGAGAUUUCGUCCUGUAGCAAUAUGGGAUGAAGUCUAGUGGCGAACGGGUGCUUAACACGUGGGCAACCUGCCGAGAAGUGGGGGAUAGCUCGCCGAAAGGCGAAUUAAUACCGCAUGUGAUCAGAGAGGACAUCCUUUCGAAAUUAAAGCUGGGGCAACCUAGCGCUUCUUGUGGGGCCCGCGGCCUAUCAGCUAGUUGGUGAGGUAACGGCUCACCAAGGCUUUGACGGGUAGCUGGUCUGAGAGGACGACCAGCCACACUGGGACUGAGACACGGCCCAGACACCUACGGGUGGCAGCAGUCGAGAAUUUUUCUCAAUGGGGGAAACCCUGAAGGAGCGACGCCGCGUGGAGGAUGAAGGUCUUCGGAUUGUAAACUCCUGUCAUUGGGGAACAAGGUGCAUACGUUAACUGCGUGUGCAUUGAUAGUACCCGAAGAGGAAGAGACGGCUAACUCUGUGCCAGCAGCCGCGGUAAUACAGAGGUCUCAAGCGUUGUUCGGAUUCAUUGGGCGUAAAGGGUGCGUAGGCGGCGCGGUAAGUCGGGUGUGAAAUCCUGGAGCUUAACUCCGAAACUGCAUUCGAUACUGCCGUGCUUGAGGACUGGAGAGGAGACUGGAAUUUACGGUGUAGCGGUGAAAUGCGUAGAUAUCGUAAGGAAGACCAGUGGCGAAGGCGGGUCUCUGGACAGUUCCUGACGCUGAGGCACGAAGGCCAGGGGAGCAAACGGGAUUAGAUACCCUAGUAGUCC